UCGGCCGUCGGCUGGACACAGCGGAUCAACUGAUCUGUUGCAGGGUUGGCAGUCGGCCGUGUUAGCCACCACGAAGAGAUGAUUCUUCUGUGCCAUGCAGCUCAAACGAUGCAGGACCUGAGAAAAGAUAUGAGUUUAAAAUAAAAUGGAAUCCAAAACAAAUUGUCCCAACACGUCACUAUAAGGAUCUGCACAUGGGCUCCACGUCACUGCUCCAGGAUCCGGCACCGUCUCCAGAUACGCAGCUAUAGACACUCUGCUGUAGUUGAAUCCGUGGAUGGCGUCCUCUGGAAACACCAGGAUCUGGGCUCCCUGUUAAACAGAUUAAGCUUCAGUGAGUUCACUGCUCAGGUCACAGGGAACCUGGAUCCUAUCCCAGGGAACCCCAUUGCAGGGCACAAUGUGCACCUGUUCACACACUACGGACAAUUUAGAGAUGCCAAUCAGCCUACAACGCAUGUUUUUGGACUGAGGGAGGAAACCGAGUAACCUGGAGGAAACCCCCGAAGCACGGGGAGAACAUGAAAACUCUGCACACACAGGGCGGAGGUGAUGAAGCACCGCUGCAUUCACUGCGAGGUCCCAGAACAGGCGAGACACGGCCAAAGCCCUCCAGGGAGCCCGGGCUGGGCAGCUCCACACCUCUGGUGCAGGGAGAGAAUGAGGGAAGAGAGGAGGGGAAAGGACAGGAGGACAAGAGCAGAGGGUACGAAGCACACUCACUGGAUAUGCCGUCUGACUCCAUUUUGAAGUUGCUGAUGUCUUCACCAUCACCUACGUCUUUCUCAGCCCCAACUCCGCAGCAGCGGGGCCCAAUGGCUGCGAGACGUCUGCGAGCGUGGAU